UGAAUACGAGACGCUAAGGCGUCGAAGUAGUGUAUGUCAUACUUCCAAGAAAAGCUUGCACUGUCAUAGAUAAAAAACGCCUGUACCAUAACCGACACAGGUGGGUAGGUAGAGUAUACUAAGGGGCGCGAGAUAACUCUCUCUAAGGAACUCGGCAAAAUAACUCCGUAACUUCGGGAGAAGGAGUGCCUUAUUCGUAAGGUUGCAAUAACAAGAUCCAAGCAACUGUUUAUCAAAAACACAGGUCUCCGCUAAGUCGUAAGACGAUGUAUGGGGGCUGACGCCUGCCCAGUGCCAGAAGGUUAAAGAAGUUGGUUAGCAAUUGCGAAGCUGAUAACUGAAGCCCUGGUGAACGGCGGCCGUAACGAUAACGGUCCUAAGGUAGCGAAAUUCCUUGUCGGGUAAGUUCCGACCCGCACGAAAGGCGUAAUGAUUUGGAUACUGUCUCGGAGAGGGGCUCGGUGAAAUAGACUUGUCUGUGAAGAUGCGGACUACCUGCACCAGGACAGAAAGACCCUAUGAAGCUUUACUGUAACUUGAAAUUGAAAUUGGACUUUAUUCGCGCAGUAUAGGUGGGAGGCGUUGAUUAUAAUCUUGCGGGAUUAUUGGAGCCAUCAGUGAGAUACCACUCUUGUAAUGUUAGAUUUCUAACUUUGAAUCAUUAUCUGGUCAAAGAACAGUUUCAGGCGGGCAGUUUGACUGGGGCGGUCGCCUCCUAAACGGUAACGGAGGCGUACAAAGGUUUCCUCUGAACGGUUAGAAAUCGUAUCUAGAGUGUAAAGGCAUAAGGAAGCUUGACUGUGAGACCUACAAGUCGAGCAGGGACGAAAGUCGGUCUUAGUGAUCUGACGGUACUGAGUGGAAAGGCCGUCACUCAACGGAUAAAAGUUACUCUAGGAUAACAGGCUGAUCUCCCCCAAGAGUUCACAUCGACGGGGAGGUUUGGCACCUCGAUGUCGGCUCAUCGCAUCCUGGGGCGGUAGUACGUCCCAAGGGUUGGGCUGUUCGCCCAUGAAAGCGGUACGCGAGCUGGGUUCAGAACGUCGUGAGACAGUUCGGUCCAUAUCCGGUGUAGGCGUUAGAAUAUUGAGAGGAGCCUUCUUUAGUACGAGAGGACCGAGAAGGACAUACCUCUGGUGUACCAGUUAUCGUGCCAACGGUAAACGCUGGGUAGCUAUGUAUGGAGUGGAUAACCGCUGAAAGCAUCUAAGUGGGAAGCCCACCUCAAGAUAAG
rnacentral:rRNA from 1 species